rnacentral:rRNA from 1 species
CUUAUGCAUGCAAGUCGAGCGAUGAGACUCCUACGGGAGCACAUCAGCGGCAGACGGGUGAGUAACACGUAGAUGACGUACCCUCAAGACGGGGAUAACGGAUGGAAACAUGCGCUAAUACCGGAUGACCUUACGAUGUCAGAAUGGUAAGGAAAGCUACGGCGCUUGAGGAGCGGUCUGCGGCCCAUCAGCUAGUUGGUAGGGUAAAGGCCUACCAAGGCGAAGACGGGUAGGGGGUGUGAGAGCACGGCCCCCCACAAUGGGACUGAGACACGGCCCAUACUCCUACGGGAGGCAGCAGCAGGGAAUAUUGCACAAUGGACGGAAGUCUGAUGCAGCGACGCCGCGUGAGUGAAGAAGGCCUUCGGGUUGUAAAACUCUUUUGAGGGGGAAGAGCGAGGACGGUACCCCUGGAAUAAGCGUCGGCUAACUACGUGCCAGCAGCCGCGGUAAGACGUAGGACGCGAGCGUUAUCCGGAUUUACUGGGCGUAAAGCGUCUGUAGGCGGAUGUGUAAGUUGGGCGUGAAAGCUCCGGGCUUAACCCGGAGAGGCCGUUCAAUACUGCAUAACUUGAGGGUGUCAGAGGGGAGCGGAAUUCCCGGUGUAGCGGUAAAAUGCGCAGAGAUCGGGAGGAACACCAGUGGCGGAGGCGGUUCCCUGGGGCACACCUGACGCUGAGAGACGAAAGCUAGGGGAGCGAACAGGAUUAGAGACCCUGGUAGUCCUAGCCCUAAACGAUGAAUGCUAGGUGUGGGAUCGAAUGGUUCCGUGCCGGAGCGAACGCGAUAAGCAUUCCGCCUGGGGAGUACGGCCGCAAGGUUAAAACUCAAACGAAUUGACGGGGCCCCGCACAAGCAGCGGAGCGUGUGGUUUUAAUUCGAUGCUACAACGAAGAACCUUACCUGGGUUUGACAUGUAGGUGGUAGUGAAUCGAGAGGUGAACGACCCUUCGGGGAGCUUACACAGGUGCUGCAUGGCUGUCGUCAGCUCGUGCCGUGAGGUGUCGGGUUAAGUCCCGUAACGAGCGCAACCCUUGCUCCUAGUUUACAAGUGUCUAGGGGGACUGCCGGCGGAAAGCCGGAGGAAGGUGGGGGAUGACGUCAAGUCAGCAUGGCCCUUAUAUCCAGGCAUACACACACGCUACAAUGGUCGGU